UACAUACUCCCUCUGUCCCAAAAUUCUUGUCUUAGAUUUGUCUAGAUACGGAUGUAUCAAGUCACGUUUUAGUAUUAGAUACAUUCAUAUCUAGACAAAUCUAAGACAAGAAUUCUGGGAUCGAGGGAGUAUUAC
rfam:Triticum aestivum genome assembly, contig: Triticum_aestivum_CS42_TGACv1_scaffold_147494_2BS